rnacentral:misc_RNA from 1 species
CUUACAAUUUUCAUUGUCACGUUCAACUGUCAAUUGCAAAGACUGUAACGGAUCCUGUGAUUAUUUUUAUUUCGCUGCCAUUUUAAAAAGCCCGCAAGAGGAUGUGACGUCAGGAGAAAUGAGAACGAGAUUUUGUCAACUUCCGAAUUUUUACUACAGUUUGUUGAUUCAAGAUGGUGGAUUAUCAGCCUGUCCCGUCACACUAUCAACUUCUUACAGUUAUAGGUAAAGGUUGUGAAGAAGCAGCAUCUAUCUCUUUAGCGAAGCACCUACCUUCUGGCACGGUGGUUAGCAUUAAACGCAUCAAUCUGGAGAUGAUAGAGAAUGACUUUAAUAUAGUCAAGACAGAGAUCUUGAUGACGAGACAGCUACAACAGGAUAACCUAUUGACAUAUUACUGUACAUUUGUGCAUGGGAAAUACAUCUGGUGUGUCAUGCCUCUCAUGGAGUAUGGCUCAUGUAAGGAUCUUAUCCAUGCUCACUUCACAGAGGGACUACCAGAACUAGCCAUCGCUUAUAUUCUACGAGAUGUUCUAAUGGCAUUAGACUAUCUUCACACCAGGGGCAUCAUUCAUAGGAGUGUGAAAGCAAGUCACAUACUGCUAUCAGAGGAUGGUAGGGCAUAUUUAGGAGGUCUACAUUACUCACACGACAUGGUGUUCAAUGGGCAACGUGCUAGGAAGGUCCAUCAUUUUCCUGUGAGGGCCGCUGCUAGUCUCAACUGGCAUAGUCCAGAGUUGCUCGAACAGAAUAUGAAUGGCUAUGACACAAAGUCAGACAUCUACAGUCUAGGAAUCACUGCUUGUGAACUAGCCAAUGGUGCUACUCCCUUCCAAGAUCUACCCCCUAUGCAGAUGCUGCUAGAGAAGUUGAGUGGGACAGUUCCCAGACUACUAGAUGCUAAUACAUUACCAGAGACACUAGAUAUGGAGCAGGAACAAGGUGAGCUCCACAAUGACACGGCAUUAUUCCAGAGAUCUUUCACUCCACACUUUCAUAACUUUGUACAUCUGUGUCUCCAGGCAGACCCGUUUCAAAGACCAAAUGCAGCACAGCUAUUGAACCAUCCAUAUUUGAAGAGAGCUAAGAGGAAAUCAUCUGCUGACAAUCUCCCUACUCUACUACAACCUGUAAAACCUCUCUCCCCAGAAGCAAUACUACCUAGAGAUUCUUGUGAUGUGGAAGAUUUAGCUGAAAAAAUGUCUGAAGUUGAGGUCGAAGAAACGUCUUGGAUUUUUUGACUGGUGGAAUUACAUUUUGAUGAAGACAGGAAUGCAUUUAUUAGGUGAAGUAGUAUGUAGCAGUCUAAAAGUAUAGGAACUUGAACACAGAUUGAACAAUAGGACCGUGUGGACAAUAUUGGAACCAUGAUAUUUAAGUAUCUUAUCACAUCAAAGAAGAAUUCCUUCAGAUAACAAUUAAAUUGUUACUUUGUGUGGUAUAUGGAUAGUUCUACUACUUUAUGUGGUGUGUGAAAAUUUUACCUUUUAUGGUAACAUAUUAGGAUAGUUCUGCAAACUUAAAAGUUGUACAGACAAAUAGAUAGUCCUCAUUAUAUGACAUGAAUAAUUGUCUUACCUUAUAUAGACUUGAGACUUCUACUUCCUUAUAGAGAUAUAUAUAGAGACAUCUUCUACCUUGUAAGGUAUACAGAUCUACUACUCUAAAUACAUAGAUACUAGUUAUCCUUGUAUGAUAUGACAUCUAUAGUUCUGCUACCUUUUAUGGAAUAUGGAGAGGUCUGCUAACUUAUAUGGCAAUAUAGUGAAUGCUGAACCUCUAAUGCCAAAUGUUGAUAUAUGGAAUAUAGAAAUAAUGUUUAUAUUUUCAAAAAUUUUGUUUAUUUUAUAUUAUCAAAAUUAAAACAAAAUA